rnacentral:lncRNA from 1 species
GGGAUUCUUUCCUAACUCUCUUGUGUUUGCCUUCAGGACAGCCCUGCAUCUUUGACCUCUGGCAAACAUUUAGACUUUGUACUUUUUUUUUUCUUUUAAAUAUCUUUGUUGAAGUGUAAUUUACAUGCCAUAAACUCCACCCACUGUGAGUGUAUGUGUCUGUGGCUUGUAGCAGAUUUACAUGGUUGUGAAACUUUCUUUACAGUCUACUUUUAGGACAUUUUCAUUAUCCCCAAAGGUGCUGUGGUAUCCGUGUGAUCCCCUCCGUGAGGUUUUUAUUACUUUUAUUGUUAUAUGAUGAAUGCUUCCCCCUCCUACUUUCUCUUCCUCCUCUUGGCUUUGUCUAGUUUGUUAUAUCUAGUUUUUAUCCUUUAUUUUGGUUUCUUUUAACCUUGAGUUAUUAUAAUUCAAUCGAGUGACCUUGUUAUGAAGUCUUUUAAGGGAAUCAGAUGACAGUUGUUUGUCUGCAGGAAUUUAACUACUGUGAUUCCAGCCAGUUCCUGGCUUCUUACACCCUGAUGCUGUGGGGACGUGAAUUGGUGCUCGUGGUGGGGAGAUGAUACAUGUGUAGAGAGACAAAGUGAAGGGUCUUCUCCGGUGGAGAAGCCUGACUGCUGUGUCCUUCACAGUGUGCCUGCAGUGCGUCCUUGUUAUAAAACCUAACAGAUCAGAGGCUCUGCGGGUUGGGAGGAGAAGGAGGGAGGAAGGCGCGUAUGUCUAGCUUUUCAUCUUCUCUUUCUAUGCAGAAUGAAUUUUAACCCUCCCUUCUUCCCUGUAGGGAAAAGGUAGGAGACUAGAGGGGAUUCAGUGGGCCUUCUUGGGAGGGUGAAAUAAUUGAGAUGCCGGAGCUUUGUUGCAUCAAAAAAAAAUGUUAGUUUGUAGGGAGCAAAAAAAGAAAUUGCUUACUCUUUAAUUUUCUCCAUUUUUGUAAAGAACUCAGUAGAACAGGACACAGCAGGCUCAAUUCAGAAACUUGAAGCAUGACGCUAUGAUCCAAGAACCUUAUCUAUGUGGUUCAAAGGAAAAGGAAAGGAACCUUGACGACAUUUCAGGGCUGUGAGGCCAAAUAAUAAUAAUACAAUAGAAAUAAAUUGAAUGCAUCUAAGAUGUUUCAAGUUGUAAAAUUAGAGUUCUGCAGAAAAAUAAAAUUUAAAAUGACAUCAAAGAGCUAUUGGGAAGAAACGAUGGAGACUACACAGUAGAAGAAAUGAUGAAAUAUAAUAUGACUCAGGGGAAAUAUUCUAGCCUCAGAUUCAGGAAACCGUGACUUUAAUUUUUAUCCUGAUAGUAGCCAGCAGUAAUCUUGGACAAAUCACUUGCCUAAUCUGGGUCUCAGUAUCCUCGAGUGUAAUAGGAAGGGGUUUGCUUAUAUUGAUUAAAUCUUUUUUUUUUUUUUGCUUUUUAGGGCCGCACCCUCGGCUUAUGGAAAUUCCCAGCUACAGCUCUGAUUAGACCCCUAGCCUGGGAACCUCCAUAUGCCACGGGAGCGGCCCAAGAAAUGGCAAAAAGACAAGAAGAAGAAAAUUCUUUCAUGCUGUGAAAUUACAUUAGGAGAUGGCAGCGAAGCACAUGAAAAGGGGUUCAUCGUUGGCCAUGAGGGAAACGCAAAUAUUACCACAACAGGAUAUCACCACACACCUAUCACACUGGUGAAAUAACGACAAUAACCAAAAGCCAUCAAGAAUGCAGAGAGAGGGAGUUCCCUUCGUGGCUCAGUGGUUAAUGAACCCAGCUAGGGUCCAUGAGGAUACAGGUUUGAUCCCUGGCCUCGAUCAGUGAGUUAAGGAUCCGGUAUUGCUGUGAACUAUGGUGUAGGUCGCAGAGGUGGCUCAGAUCCUGCGUUGCCAUGGCUGUGGUGUAGGCCGGCAGCUACAGCUUGAUCCGACCCUUAGCCUGGAAAGUUCCAUAUCCCAUGAGUGUGGCCCUAAAAAGCAAAAAAAAAAAAAAAAAAAAANAAA